GGCCCAGAGGCCUAAUGGAUAAGGCAUCAACCUCCAGAGUUGGAGAUUGUGGGUUCAAGUCCCAUCUGGGUCA
rfam:Astyanax mexicanus chromosome 17, whole genome shotgun sequence.